AUAUAGGUUAAAUUAAGGAAGAGAUAUUCAACAAGCCCGUCUAGCUCAGUUGGUAGAGCGCAAGGCUCUUAACCUUGUGGUCGUGGGUUCGAGCCCCACGGUGGGCGCUUAUUUUUUUAUUAUUUUCCGCUCCGAAAAAAAAACUUUUUUUUUUGAGGAAAAUAAUAUCACAAAUAAUUAGUAGAGGUCAGAUAUAUCCUCUACCACGUUCAAUAACACAUCACAAAUCGCAAAUCCUCUCCUUCUCUCUCUCUCUGCUUGACUCGAUUCGUUCCAGGAGGCCAGGAGCGGCUUGAUUUGAUCUUGAGACAAUGGUGCGGCUGGAAUCGACAUGGACGAAGGAGCUCUCGAGAUCGGAAUGGAGUACAGAACUGUCUCAGGUGUUGCGGGACCUUUGGUGAUCCUUCUCCUUUGCCAAUUUCGGUGUAUGAGUAAACAAUGCAGCUUUUAUAUAAAGAUAACAACAGUUUGUAUAUGAUAAUGUCAUAAACUAAUUCACAACGUAUAUUCAAUGACAGAGACAAGCUGAUGGCUAGUAUACCAAUGAGCAUCAGUCUCUCUAAGCCAUUCUAAUUUAGUCUAA